rnacentral:ncRNA from 2 species
GUCAUUCAUGCCGGUGAUGGUUCCCGACCAAGCCACGCGCGGUCGGGUGAAAAGGGAACACGGUGCGGUGUAGCCAUCAGGCGCCAAAUCCGUGACUGCCCCCGCAACUGUAAGCGGCGAGCGUCCCCCGAUGCCACUGUGCCCCCUGGGGCAUGGGAAGGCGGGGUAUGCCGCGACCCGCGAAGUCAGGAGACCUGCCAUCAUGCUGGACAAUCA